rnacentral:lncRNA from 1 species
CACUCGUUUAAUUCAUGCAAUUCUUCAAUAUUUUUGUGGUGAUGCUUUUCUUACUACAUGUUAUUUCAUUAAUCGCAUGCCUUUUCGAUUUUAGAUAAUAAAAUACCUUAUUCUAUUUUAUUUUCUCAUGAACCUCUUCAUCCUUUACUUCUAAAAGUUUUGUAGUUUACAUGUUUUGUUCAUAAUUUUAGUCCUAGUCUUGAUAAGUUAUCUCCUCGAUCACAAAAACGUGUUUUUUUAGUAUUUAUUAGAUCACAAAAAAGAUACAAGUGUUUUUUUCCUUCUCUUAACUGCUAUUUUUUUUUGUAGAUGUCACCUUCAAUGAGUCUUCUUUUUAUCUUAAAGGUCAUUCUUCUUUUGAUAUGUCUCCAUUUAAUAGUCAAUAUUCCUAGUCCAGUUAAUAUUCCUUUUAUUUGUGGUCCUUCAGUAGUGCCUUGUCCACCACCACCACCAUCACCAUCUUCAAUUCUUCUCCACCACCACUUUAGGUUUAUAGCCAGAGACAUUGUUCUCAACAGCCACUAAGUGAUUCAAUUCAAGGACCAACUACUUUGUCUCCUCUGGCUCUGACAACUGAGUCUGAUCUUCCAAUUGCCCUCCAAAAGGGUAUCUAUUCUACGUGUAAUCCCUCUCCACAUUAUAUUGCUUUGAGUUAUCAUUGAUUAUGUUCACUUUUUAUGCCAGCCUUUCAUCUAUUUCUUUUGUGGCCAUUCCAAAAUUUAUAAAUGAUGCCUUAGCCCAUCUUGGUUGGCGUCAUGCCAUGCUAGAUGAACUAAGUGUUUUUCAUAAUAGUGCAACUGGGGAGCUUGUCCUAUUAUUGUCUAGGAAAUUUGUUGUUGGUUACAAGUGGGUUUUUUCUAUCAAAGUUGGUUCUGAUGGUACUAUUGAUCACCUCAAAGUUCGUCUUAUAGUCAAAGAUUACAUAGAUUUUUGGGUUAGAUUAUGGUGAUACAUUUUCUCCAAUGGCAAAGAUAGCUUGUGUUUGUUUAUUUAUAUAGUCAUGGUUGUUAUUCAAUAAUGACCUCUUUACCAAUUCGAUGUCAAAAACAUGUUACUUAGUGGAGCUUUGCAAGAAGAGAUUUAUAUGGAGCAACCUCUAGGAUUUGUUGCUCAUGGGAAGCCUUAUGUCGUCUUUGCAAAUCCUUAUAUAGCCUAAAAUAGUCUCCUAGGACUUGGUUUGAAAAAUUUAGCAACAUUGUUCAACAAUUUGGUAUAACUUGGUGUUAGGCAGAUCAUUCAAUCUUUUAUUAUUACUCGAGUGCUGAAUGUGUCUACUUGAUAGUAUAUGUUAAUGACAUCGUUCUUACAUACAGUAACAACCAUGGCAUCUCCCAAAUGAACCAACAUCUUUGCCACCAUUUUCAGACCAAAGAUCUUAGUAAACUAAGAUAUUUCAUAGGUAUUGAGGUGGUACAGUCCAACGAUGAUAUUGUUAUAUUUCAAAGGAAGUAUGCAUUAGAGAUUUCAGAGGAAACUUGGUUGAUGAAUUCAAAAUCUAUUGACACUGUUGAGAUUAAAUCAGAAAAAUAUAUUUCUAAAGGGCUUAAUUGAUCCUUCUCAUGUUCUACCAUUUAUAUUGAUAAAGAGUUAAUACAAUAGGGAGAUAGAAGGUCAAGAGAUUGUCCUAGACUGCUAGGUACAAUCAUUAUAGAUAACCCAAUACACUACUACCUACCUUAGUCCUUCUGACUACCCUAACAUAGAUAGACUUAGUAAUUAUUCUACCAUUAAGAUACACACAGCUCACACACAACUCACACACACUAACCAAUAAUUCUAACACUCUUCCUCAAGCUGGAGCAUACAAAUUGUAUGAACCAAGCUUGAAAUAGAUAAACUCGAUUUUGAACUACAUGAAUUUUUCUUCAAAAGUGUGAGGCAGUGUGUUAUCACAUGUCAACGAAAAACUAACAACAGCUUGUGAAACUUCAACUUCAAAAGUGGAUGACAGAGAGCAGUGGUGGACAAUGACAAUCUGCAAGGAUGAAAUCCCUCAUCAACUAAGGAUGGGGCCUGCAGUGGCUAAAUGCGACAAAACUGCAGGGAUUGCCAUCUCUGAGACUGAUGGGUGAUGGGGCCUGUAGUGGCUGAAAGCUACAAAUCUACAGGGACUACCAUACUUAUGUGGCUUGAACUGCCAUACUUGACUUGUCGUGUGCCAUCUCUAAGAUUGAUGGGCGAUGGGGCCUGUAGUGGUUGAAAGCUACAAAUCUACAGGGACUACCAUACUUGACUUGCAGUGUCUUGGAAACAAACAUUAAUGUGGCUUGAACUGCCAUACUUGACUUACAGUGUCUUGGAAACAUACUCCCCCUCACUGUGAACGUUGGAAACAGUGAAAUUGUUGACUGGCAUUGGAAGCAUCACAGUUGCUUUGGAUAAACACACAUAAAUGAAGUCUACAAAAGAGAUUGACGUCCGAUGGGGAGCUUGCUGUUUUUUUUUUUUUUAUUUCAUCCUCUGUAAGACUUCUCUCAUCCUAUCUUCACUUUCAUUCACCAAGAGAUCAUGAGUCUUCAAUUUCAUAAUCUCCAUUCCUUUAAGCCUCACGUGGAGCUCACCAUCACCCUUGAAAUGCCAAAGACAGGUUGGAGUGUCCAAAGGAGAAGAAAACCAGUGGUGGCAAACAAGGAGAAGAAGAAACCAAAAUGCCACUAGGAUAACCAUGGCUGGAUUAUGUCUUGCGACAAUGAACGAACUUGGAUGACUCUUGUUGUAGGUACUUAAGUGACGCAAAUAGGGUGAUAAAGAAGUAGACGUGUCUCCACCAUUCCAGAACGAAAACAACAUAUUGGAGAUUUUCGAUUUUAGGGUUUUAAGAGAGAAAACUUAUAAUAACAUGACUUCGAAAUUAGGAACCAGGGGUAAAUAUGGACUCAUCACGAUUCGACAAGUCAGACAAUGAUGAAAUAGAGGAGAUCCGAAGGAUUUAGGGUUCCAAAACAAUCAAAGGAGAAAACCCUAGAUUUGAGUUACAGCCACCAAACCAAAGAAACAAAGACAAAAACAAACUCAGGAGGCUCCGGCGAGUCGACCGGAAGCAACGCGGUGAGAUUCCGACACCGGGAAGGUGGCGCGUGACAAACACGUCUCAUGAGAUCUGUCGGAGAGAUGAGGCGCGUGUGGAGGAGUUUGGUCCUGUCUCCAGUAGGGUUGGUCGUCGCUCGAGGCAGUUGCCUUUCUAGGAUUCCCUGGAGACUUUAGGUCUCUUUGAUGCAGGGUGCAAAUGAAUGGAAGAAUGUCAAUGUUUGGGCAUUAGAGAAGGACCCGUUCUAAUUUUAAUGGGCCAAAGUCUGCAAGAAUUCUUUAGUUGUUAUCAGAGGAAACAAGGUGUUGGUGACGUCGGAGAUAGGCCAAGUCAGGUACUAGUGGCUGAGAAAGACAUAAGUCUUAGAAACUGAACUUGGCUAGGUAAUUGUAGGACUGCCACUGAAACACAAAGAUUGAAAGACUAAACUUUUAGGGGGGCUGCCGGUGGCUAUGACGGCCGGCCGCCGGCAAACAGUAAAGGCAGCCAGUAAAGGAUCAGAAAACCUUCUCUAAUACCAUGUUGAGAUUAAAUCAGAAAAAUAUAUUUCUAAAGGGCUUAAUUGACCCUUCUCAUGUUCUACCAUUUAUAUUGAUAAAGAGUUAAUACAAUAGGGAGAUAGAAGGUCAAGAGACUGUCCUAGACUGCUAGGUACAAUCAUUAUAGAUAACCCAAUAUACUACUACCUACUUUAGUCCUUCUAACUACCCUAACAUAGAUAGACUUAGUAAUUAUUCUACCAUUAAGAUACACAUAACUCACACACACUAACCAAUAAUUCUAACAGACACACCCAUGGAUCCUAAUACUUAACUUUUACUAAAUCAUGGGGAGUCGUUAGAUCCCAAGCAUUAUAGAAGAUUAGUUGGAACUUAAAUUAUCUUACAGCUACUCGUCUUGACAUUUUUUUGGCAGUCUGUGUGGUAAGCCCAUUUCUUAAUUCCCAUGUGAAGAUCAUUGGAAUGCAGUCAUACUAAUAUUAAAGUACAUUAAAGGAGCUCCCAGAAAAGGGUUGUUAUAUAGAUCCAAUAAGCAUAAAGAAGUUGUUUGUUAUUAUGAUUGGGCAUGAUCUCCUUCUGAUAGAAGGUUUACAUCCGG